UGCCAGCCGCCGCGGUAAUACGGAGGGGGCUAGCGUUGUUCGGAAUUACUGGGCGUAAAGGGUGCGUAGGCGGCCCAUCAAGUUAGACGUGAAAGCCCCGGGCUCAACCUGGGAAUUGCGUUUAAUACUGGUGAGCUAGAGUACGAGAGAGGAAAGUGGAAUUCCUAGUGUAGAGGUGAAAUUCGUAGAUAUUAGGAAGAACACCAGUGGCGAAGGCGACUUUCUGGACCGAUACUGACGCUGAGGUACGAAAGUGUGGGGAGCAAACAGGAUUAGAUA
rnacentral:rRNA from 1 species